UGCAUCUGGGGCCAGUGAGGAUGAGAACCUCCGGGGGCAGGAGGUUCGACUCGAGCGAAGCGAGAGAACGUUGCGUCAGCAACGGCCCGCAGGGCGAGCC
rnacentral:sRNA from 1 species